AGAACAGCCCAAGAUGGCCGACUUCGAUGAUCGUGUGUCGGAUGAGGAGAAGCGUGAGUUGAGAUGAUCACAUGGUUUUGGUCUUUUAAUUUGUACGCAUAGCUGCUAAAUUCAUCACUCAUGCACCCCCAGGGGAAUUUAAUGAAGUAUUCAAUGACGUUCGGCUACUACUUAAUAAUGACAAUCUCCUCAGGGAAGGGGCAGCACAUGCAUUUGCCCAGUAUAACAUGGAUCAGUUCACGCCUGUGAAGAUAGAAGGAUAUGAAGAUCAGGUCUUAAUUACAGAGCACGGUGACCUGGGUAAUAGCAGAUUUUUAGAUCCAAGAAACAAAAUUUCCUUUAAAUUUGACCACUUACGGAAAGAAGCAAGUGACCCCCAGCCAGAAGAAGUAGAUGGAGGUCUGAAGUCUUGGAGAGAAUCCUGUGACAGUGCUUUAAGAGCCUAUGUGAAAGACCAUUAUUCCAACGGCUUCUGUACUGUUUAUGCUAAAACUAUCGAUGGUCAACAGACUAUUAUUGCAUGUAUUGAAAGCCACCAGUUUCAGCCUAAAAACUUCUGGAAUGGUCGUUGGAGAUCAGAGUGGAAGUUCACCAUCACACCACCUACAGCCCAGGUGGUUGGAGUGCUUAAGAUUCAGGUUCAUUAUUAU
rnacentral:sRNA from 1 species